rnacentral:rRNA from 1 species
CCUAGUAACUGCGAGUGAAGCGGGAAAAGCUCAAAUUUAAAAUCUGGUGGUCUUUUUAAGGCUACCCGAAUUGUAAUCUAGAGAAGUGUUAUCCGCGCUGGACCGUGUACAAGUCUCCUGGAAUGGAGCCUCAUAGAGGGUGAGAAUCCCGUCUCUGACAUGGACUACCAGGGCUUUUGUGAUGCGCUCUCAAAGAGUCGAGUUGUUUGGGAAUGCAGCUCAAAAUGGGUGGUAAAUUCCAUCUAAAGCUAAAUAUUGGCGAGAGACCGAUAGCGAACAAGUACCGUGAGGGAAAGAUGAAAAGAACUUUGGAAAGAGAGUUAAACAGUACGUGAAAUUGUUGAAAGGGAAACGCUUGAAGUCAGUCACGUUGGCCAGAAAUCAGCCUUGCAACCUGUGUGCUUGGUGUAUUUUCUGGUAAACGGGUCAGCAUCAAUUUUGACCGGUGGAUAAAGGCCAAAGGAAUGUGGCAUCUUUUGGAUGUGUUUAUAGCCUUUGGUCGCAUGCAUCAGUUGGGAUUGAGGAACUCAGCACGCCGCAAGGGCGGGUUUUGUACCACGUUUCGUGCUUAGGAUGCUGGCAUAAUGGCUUUAAUCGACCCGUCUUGAAACACGGACCAAGGAGUCUAACAUGCCUGCAAGUGUUUGGGUGGAAAACCCGAGCGCGCAAUGAAAGUGAAAGUUGAGAUCCCUGUCGUGGGGAGCAUCGACGCCCGGACCGGACCUUUUGUGAUGGCUCCGCGGUAGAGCAUGUAUGUUGGGACCCGAAAGAUGGUGAACUAUGCCUGAAUAGGGUGAAGCCAGAGGAAACUCUGGUGGAGGCUCGUAGCGAUUCUGACGUGCAAAUCGAUCGUCGAAUUUGGGUAUAGGGG